GACGAAGGGGGCUAGCGUUGUUCGGAAUUACUGGGCGUAAAGCGCGCGUAGGCGGCCUUGCAAGUUAGAGGUGAAAGCCCGGAGCUCAACUCCGGAACUGCCUUUAAAACUGCAUAGCUUGAAUCCGGGAGAGGUGAGUGGAAUUCCGAGUGUAGAGGUGAAAUUCGUAGAUAUCGGGAGGAACACCAGUGGCGAAGGCGACUACCUGGCCUGUUCUUGACGCUGAGGCGCGAAAGCUAGGGGAGCAAACGGG
rnacentral:rRNA from 1 species